rnacentral:rRNA from 1 species
UACGUAGGGUGCAAGCGUUAACCGGAAUUACUGGGCGUAAAGCGUGCGCAGGCGGUCUGCUAAGAGAGGUGUGAAAUCCCCGGGCUUAACCUGGGAACUGCGCUUCUAACUGUCAAGCUAGAGUGCAGAAGGGGCAAUCGGAAUUCUUGGUGUAGCGGUGAAAUGCGUAGAUAUCAAGAGGAACACCUGAGGUGAAGGCGGGUUGCUGGGCUGACACUGACGCUGAGGCGCGAAAGCCAGGGGAGCAAACGGG